rnacentral:rRNA from 1 species
GGGUGUGUAAGCGUUGUGAGGCGUUGAGCUAACCAGUACUAAUUGCCCGUGAGGCUUGACCAUAUAACACCCAAACA